UGGGGGAUUUUGCACAAUGGGCGCAAGCCUGAUGCAGCGACGCCGCGUGAGGGAUGAAGGCCUUCGGGUUGUAAACCUCUUUCGCCGGGUUGAAAGGCCAUGCUUUGGGUGUGGUUGAUUUGAACUGGUAAAGAAGUACCGGCUAACUACGUGCCAGCAGCCGCGGUAAUACGUAGGGUACUAGCGUUGUCCGGAUUUAUUGGGCGUAAAGGGCUUGUAGGUGGUUUGUCGCGUCUGUCGUGAAAUCCUGUGGCUUAACCAUGGGCUUGCGGUGGGUACGGGCAGGCUUGAGUGCGGUAGGGGAGACUGGAAUUCCUGGUGUAGCGGUGGAAUGCGCAGAUAUCAGGAGGAACACCGGUGGCGAAGGCGGGUCUCUGGGCCGUUACUGACACUGAGGAGCGAAAGCGUGGGGAGCGAACAGG
rnacentral:rRNA from 1 species